AUUGAACGCUGGCGGCAGGCCUAACACAUGCAAGUCGAGCGGAUGAAGGGAGCUUGCUCCUGGAUUCAGCGGCGGACGGGUGAGUAAUGCCUAGGAAUCUGCCUGGUAGCGGGGGAUAACGUCCGGAAACGGGCGCUAAUACCGCAUACGUCCUGAGGGAGAAAGUGGGGGAUCCUCGGACCUCACGCUAUCAGAUGAGCCUAGGUCGGAUUAGCUAGUUGGUGGGGUAAAGGCCUACCAAGGCGACGAUCCGUAACUGGUCUGAGAGGAUGAUCAGUCACACUGGAACUGAGACACGGUCCAGACUCCUACGGGAGGCAGCGGUGGGGAAUAUUGGACAAUGGGCGAAAGCCUGAUCCAGCCAUGCCGCGUGUGUGAAGAAGGUCUUCGGAUUGUAAAGCACUUUAAGUUGGGAGGAAGGGCAGUAAGUUAAUACCUUGCUGUUUUGACGUUACCAACAGAAUAAGCACCGGCUAACUUCGU
rnacentral:rRNA from 1 species